rnacentral:piRNA from 5 species
AGCAGAGUUGCGCAGCGGGAGCGUGCUGGGC